ACUUCAUCCACCUUUGAGAGGAGAGAAAAAAGGCGGGCCUUUCUCUCUCGCUUCUCUCUCUACAAGGCCAAGACUGAUGGGGCGCCUGAGUGGGACGCCCGACUCGGGACCAUUCCGGAACAAAACGGGAGCUGAUGGGAUCUCCCCCAUUGUGACCCAAGCGUGUUCAUGCCCUCUCCGAAAUGGGACUGGUUUGGUGCGGGAGGAUGGGCAGGGACGGGGGAGGUGAUGACCGGCAGAGGAGGCCUGGGCAAGGGAGAGGAGAUUCCAGCCAAUUGCCGGUGAAUGACAGCACAGAAGAAAUCUACAAAGCACUCUUUCACAGUCUCCCACCGUGCCCGAGCCCAGGCAGAUCUCAGAGACCAAGUUCUUCACAAACCAACCUGUGUUACAAGAGCGGGAGCCAGAAACCUCCCUGUCCUCUCUCUCCUUCAGGAUUUGGAUUUGAGGAGGAACCGGAGCUCUGAGGAUAAUCCCAAGUAAGGGGGGCUUGGGAAGAAAUGGUAGGAGCAACCCCUCCAAUGUAAGAACAAGAAGGUAGGGAGGAAUGGCAGAAGUAGAGUAGGGAAGAGACGGGGAUCAUAUUGCAGUAGAGAUUGGCUUGUGAAAAGUAAGAGUAGGUGGAGAAAUGAAGGGUCCAGGGUCAUCUUCCAUGUCAACUUUGACCCUGGCAGUGCCCUCGAAGAAUCUCGACCAGAUCUUGAAGUAAGUCUUAGCCUCCGGUGUUUCCCCCUCCUCUUUUUUAAUGGUAUUUAUUAAGCGCUUGCUAUGAGUGGAGUACUGUUCUAAGCGCUGGGAUAGAUACAAAUUAAUCGGUGGGACACAUUCCCUAUCCCCCAUGGGGUUCACGAUCUCAGUAGGAGGGAGAAACAGGAUUGAAUCCCCAUCCACAGAUUCAAUCCCCAUUUUGCAGAUGGGGAAACUGAUGUACAGUGUAGUUAGGUAAAUCGCCCAAGGCCACCCAGUAAGCGAGUGGCAGAACUGGGAUUAGAACCCAGGUUCCUCUGACUCCCAGGCCUGUGAUUUUUCCACUAUUCCAUGCUGCUCCCCUAAAGCUAUAAGCCCUUAGAUGGAAAAUCUAAUUUAUUUUUUAAUGGCAUUUGUUAAGUGUUUACUCUGGGCCAGGCACUGUACUUAAGAGCUACGUACAAGCUAAUCAGGUUGGACACAGUCCACAUUCCAUAGGGGGCUCACAAUUUUAAUCCCCAUUUUACAGUCUAGGUAACUGAGGCAUAGAGAAGUGAAGUGACUUGCUCAAAGUCACACAGCAAGCUGGGAUUAGAACCCAGGUCCUUCUGACUCCCGGGCCCAUGCGCUUUCCACUAACCCAGACUGCUUCUCAAUCUGCUCCAGAAUUGAGCAGUCUUUCAGGCUGUCUGUUCUGCCCCAUGUCUAGGUUUAGUUGCCCUCAAAACCCUCCCUAAGUGACAAGGAAGCCUCCACUCUGCCCCAUACUUCAAGAUCCUUUCAGGGGUUCCAAACGGAGGAAGCAGCAUGGCUUGGUGGAUAGAGAACAGGUUUAGAAAUCAGAAGGUCAUGGGUUCUAAUUCCAGCUCCACCACUUAUCUGCUGUGAGACCUCAGGCAAGUCGCUUCUCUGGGCCUCAGUUAGCUCAUCUGUAAAAUGGGGAUUAAGACUGGGAGCCUCAUGUGGGACAGGGACUGUGUCCCACCUAAUUAUCUUGUAUCUAUCCCAGCGCUUAGAACAGUGUUUGGCUCAUAGUAGGCCCUUAACAAGUACCAUAAUUAUUCUCUUCUUGUCCCCGAAGCCUCUGGGGCCAUUUGAGCCGCUCCGGGAUUGGGUAGCCUGGACCAUCUGGACCUUGGGACGGCCGGGCUGGGAUCCCCCCGACACUAACAUGAGUCCUCCCCUGGGCCGCAGGGACCCCGACCAGCCAGGGGUCUUUCAGGAAGCCCGGCCCGGGAGGCCUGCUCUUCUCUCACUGGUCGGCGCUUCCCAGCCGUCCCCGACUUUCUUCAAGGAAGCCAGUUGAAGGAAGCUGCCAACACAUAAUAAUAAUGGUGCAAUUUGUUAAAUACUUACCCCGUGGCACUGUAGUGAGCACUGGGGUAGAUACAAGAUAAUCAGGUUGAACACAAUCCAAGUCCCUCAAGGGGAUCACACAGCUUUAAUCCCCCUUUUACAGAUGAGGUAACUGAGGGCAGACAAGUGAAGCGACUUGCCCAAGGUCACACCGUAGACAAGUGGUGGAGACAGGAUUAGAACCCAGGUCCUCUGACUCCCAGGCCCGUGCUCUUUCACACAACUUUGGUCCCUCCAUGCCCUCUCAGACCCUCCUCAGUGGGAUUCCACUGGGGCUAGGGGCCAAGAGGACCUGAAUCUCUGAAUCCUGAACCCUGAACCCUUUUCUUCCUCCCGUACCUCUUGCUCCUUUCCCUUGGCACUCCCCUUCUCCGGCCCCUCCCUGCCUCCCUGCCCAGGCCCACGGACAGGACACCGGCUCCCGGACACUGCCGCUAUUCAACAGAAGCCUCCAGGGUUGCGGUCACACCUUGGGCAGUUCGUUUCUCUGGGGCUCAAGGGCCGCCCCUAUUCUACAGCAAAGUCAAUCCAAACCAGGGCCCCUCGAUUCCUAGAAAUGAGGCCGAAUGGCUGAUUUUUAAAAGUUGGCUCUCAGUACCUUUAUGGCCACAAGGGGACAGGAGGGUUUAAUUUAUUCCACACACAAUAUCUCUGCCCUGCUCUUGCCCGAACAGCUCUCUGCCAAAAAGAGGCGGGUGGUAUUUCGAAGGCCUCGGCCGGGCCUCUAGGACUGGGCAGGGCUCUCUCUGGGCCAACGGAUUUGCUGCCUGAUAGAGGGAGGUUUGUGGACUCUCGUCCGGACCCACGAUCUGGUGGUCCGGGGUGCGAUCCCGGUUGUCAGUCCCACCCACCACCAUUAUCAGAACUCCAGUCUCGGCCCUGGUGGUCCGAACAGAGGGGGCAACCGAACUGUUGGGCUUGACCCUUGGGAGCUUCUCAGUGUGGAAGUUCCCCCUGGACUGUAAGCUCCUUGUGGACAGGGAACGUGCCUACCAACCCAAGCCCUCCUCUCCUCUUCUCCCACUCCCUUUUGUGCCGCUCUUACAUCCCCCCUUCAUUAUUUCAUCCUUCAUUCACCCCCCCUCCCAUCCCCACAGGACAGAUGUAUAUACCUGUAUAAAUCCGUAAUUUAUCUACCUAUUUCUUUAUCUAUUUAUAUUAAUAUCUGCUCCCCCUCUAGACUGUGAGCUCACUGUAGGCAGGAAUAUGUCUGUUUGUUAUUGUAUUGUACUCAGCCAAGCUCUUAGUACACAGCUAGCACUCAAUAAAUACAAUGGAAUGAAAUGAAUGAGUAUAUUGCCCUCAGUUCACAGUAAGUGCUCAAUAAAUACGAUAGAUUGAUUGGAAGUUCCAGCCCGGUUUGAUUCACCUGUCCCAUAAUUCCGCAGCACUUGGAAACGCUUCUAUAUUGUGGGCUUACUGUCCUCCUAGACAUUCAUCCUUACGGGUAAUAAUGAUACGAAGAAUAACGGUACUUGUUAAGUGCUUACUAUGUUCCAAGCACUAAGGUAGACACAACUUAAUCAGUUUGGACACAGUCCCUGUCCUGCAUGGGGCUCACAUUCCUAAUCUCCAUUUUCCAGAUGAGAGAACUGAGGCCCAGGGAGUGACUCGCCCGGGGUCACACAGCAGACUUGUGGCAGAGCUGCGAUUAGAAUCCAGGUCCUUCUGACUCCCAGGCCCGUGCUCUUUCCACUAAGCCAUGUUGCUUCUCCGCUCUCCCUAACUUUCCCCUCUCCAUGACUAACUUUCCCUCUGGUAACUCACUAGAGACUGGGUAAGAGCUGACG
rnacentral:lncRNA from 1 species